UACUGUCAGUGAUGAUUGAAGUUAUCCCUGUCAGAUAAUGACUAAACAUGGUGUAACUAUCUCCACUGAGACAGCA